UUAUAAUGCAUUCUUAUUUGUCCUUGUAGGUCAGGAAGCUGAGGCUCAAAGAAGUAGUUGCCUCUGUCUAAGGUGCAGAUCUAUCCAGCAUCAGAACUAAGAGUCCAAUCUAAGUUUCUGAAUGUAACUUCUCUGCUGUGUCUCUUCAGCAUCAUGAAAGUGGUUCCAUCAGGAGAGGCUGGAUGGGCCUGGAGUAGCUAAGGUCUUGGAGGUCGUGACUAUUUUUCCAAGUCAGGAAGUGUUUCCACAAGCAAUAUUCCUGUUUUCAUUGGAACACUGGUGAGAUUUGAAGUAGCCCAUGAAUUUCCUCCUUUACGUCAGAGAACGCUCAAAGAGAACAACCCAACGGAUACAGAUGGACUCCGCCAGCUUCCUUGGCCAAGUUCAUCUCAGUUUUUAUUUGUUGCAAAUGGCCCUUUGAGCUGACUGCUCUCUCUGAACACAAUGUUUUUGCUGUGUUUUCAUCUUAAAGCAACUUGAAGACUAAAGAUGACUCUGACAUUGUUAGUAAGAGUGAUAGGUAGACGUUAUCUGCCUCACCCUUCCCAGGUAUCCUGUGCAGAAAAGAUGGUGGACCUGCAGGACCCCGCUGUGAAUUCCAGAACCUCUCUCCUAGGACUUGUUCUUUGUGAUCCCAGUGUCUCUGAAGACAUGCUUUCCUGCCAAGGAGAAAGGAAAAUGCAAACAGAGGUGAAGCAGGAGACUCAUACAUCGGCAACUAUUCCUAGUUCUCAGGGGAAAUGAGCUGCCCUCUGUGGUUGGCUGAGUCAAUACCUUCCAAAUAUGUCUGCAUCCUAGUCCCCAGAACCUAUGAGAAUAUUUCCUUAUAUGGCAAAAAGAAGACUUUGGAAAUGUGAACUAAGAAUGCAGGUGGCCAUUAGAAACUAGAAAUGGCAAGAAGAUGAAUUUUUGACCAGAACUUCCAGGUAAAAAGACGCUAUGUUAGCCCAGUGAAAUCAAUUGGAGAGUUCUGGAUUCCAAUCCCCUGAGAGAAUAGAUAUAUGUUGUUUUUACAUUUCUAAGUAUUGCAGGAGACAUGAGAAGCAGACAUUUCCUUUUGAGCUUCUCCUUGACCUUCACAAUGGCAGGACCUUUGCUUCAUUGGUUGUCAGGAGGUUUUGGGCCAGGGAAAACAGAACAUGGGUGCCCUUCCAGAAAGGUUAUAGUCUAGUCUGGCUCAGCCACCUGUCUGUUUAGGUGGUGGUGGGGAACUGGUAGCUCUUCACCCACUCUUCUUGUCUUCAAAGUGGAUGAGAUCAUAACUACUACCUUCUGCUGUGGAAUAAUCCUUCUGUACACUGUGGAUAUGUUGCUCUCAUAGUAAUAAGGUGCUUGCUUAAGGAUAGGCCAUCAUAUUGAUGAGGGUAGAGGAAAAAUACAGAAAUAUCAGAUCUUGGUAUCCCUCAUUUUAUCACCCCCAUAGUUAUUCUACCAAUGGAAUGGUUUAUCAUGC
rnacentral:lncRNA from 1 species